UACGAAGGGGGCUAGCGUUGCUCGGAAUCACUGGGCGUAAAGCGCACGUAGGCGGACUCUUAAGUCAGGGGUGAAAUCCUGGAGCUCAACUCCAGAACUGCCUUCGAUACUGGCGAUCUCGAGUUCGGGAGAGGUGAGUGGAACUGCGAGUGUAGAGGUGAAAUUCGUAGAUAUUCGCAAGAACACCAGUGGCGAAGGCGGCUCACUGGCCCGAUACUGACGCUGAGGUGCGAAAGCGUGGGGAGCAAACAGG
rnacentral:rRNA from 1 species